ensembl:lncRNA
GGUCACCAAAUAUACGUCAGGACUUAUAUAUCCACAAAUUGUUAUAAGGUUGCCACAUUUUUCCAUCGUCUCAUCUUAACUAAGGAUGUCAAUAUUUCUGGAGCCCACUAGCGGUUCAAGCAGAAGCGGAAGUGAUCGCAGAUGGAUGAGUUUACGGAUCACGAAGUUUCGAGUGUAAAUAAGAGAAUUAACAGCAGCGAAAGAGUCACUGCAAGGAAAAUAAAAAGGAAACAACGCAAACGUCAGUGCAAGAGCAAAGAGCUACCUCCCAAAAUGCUAUCUGUUUUCAAUCAACUGGAAAAAGAACUGGUUGCACUCUAUCUGAGAGAUUUCCCUCAAACCCAGAAGCGCGUGCAGAGAGUGUGUCUUAUCAUCGGGACAUUUGAAGAAGAUUUCAGACGUGCUACUGGAGUCAUUACACACGCAUUAAAUGCAGAAGUGGCUGGAGGGUUGAUGAUGGGUUUGGGGUUAGUUUUAGCUCCAGUUCAUCAGGGCAUUUCUGCUCUUAUCGCAGGAGCGGGAGCAGCUGUGGUUUCAGGCGCUGCACUCUGUGAUACAAUCUGGAACAAGAAGAUCGUGAGCCUGCAGGCAAAAAUAAUACAAGACACUGAAGCUGAACUGAGCGAAUUUCAGCAUAAAAUCAGCCCUAUGCUGGACAAGAUGAAUGAGAUCAGUCAGCAUGUUAAUGAAAUAUUGAGAGACCUCAGUUACCCAGAGCGUGAUGUUGGGUAUUUAAGUCAAUAUUUUUCAUCUGCCAGUGAAUUAGUGCGUUUCAUACAGAUAUAUGACAUUAGUGUGUUGGCUGCGCAGAUAAAGUCUCAGACAUCAUGUUUGCUCGGAGCUCGAUUUAUCAGAGUUAUGCCAGCUAGAAUGGCACUCCAGCAGAUGUGGAUAGAAAUCGUUCAGUUAGAGAAUGUCAUGGAUGAAAUUACUAAAACAAUAGAAAGAAUAGCAAAUCAGCCCGACUAAAUAUAACAAUAUGAAGGGCUAAACAAAGCAAGAAAGCUCUUUGACUUGACUUGCUCUGACUAUUCCUGGGAUAUAGAAACUAUAGAAUUUAAUGUCUGUUUGUUGGUAUACAUUUACAUGUAAGAUUACAAACACUUUUUUUUUUUUUUUGUCAGCUGUUGAAGUUUUGGUUCCUUGCCGCUAUCGUCUUUGGCUUGAGUAGUUGGGGACACUAGAUAUUCAAUAAUGUUGUUUUGAUAUGCCCGCAUUGACACCAAUUGUAUGCGAACUUAACUGAGCUGGACCAUGACAUCACUGUCUUCUCCAGUGCUGAUAUAUAGAUAAAUAACUAUUGAUUUCUACAACGGAAUGAAUCAAUACUGAAUUUAUUUAAGCUGGACAAUGACACAAUUUUCUUCUAGAGCUGUUGUGCAGUUAUCACUGUAAAGCUGCUUUGACAAUCUGCAUCGCUGUAAUAAAGGUGACUUGACAUUAUGCAAAACAUACACAAGAGCUUCGAUCAGGACUGCAACAAGGUUUGUCUUCUGUAAUGCUGUGAAGAUGUUUUGUUCAUUGUGCAGUUUGUGUUAGUAAUUUGUGCAGGUCAUUUAUUCGAGGCGAUGCAGCGAAAUAAAAACCCUCAAAACGAAACCGAAACUACACACACGGGGCGAAAACAACAAAUUUAUAAUUCGUUUUUGAGAUGAGAUAGGCCCUCAUUAAAAAAGACAUACAGCAACUUGACUUAUUAUUUGUACCCUGCCACUGAUCUUAAAGGUUUGUAUUCUUGAUUACAUUUAAGUGUUUUAAAUAUUAAUAUAUUACAUAUUACAUUUAGUAUUUUGUGAAAACACUGAAAACAUACACAAGUUACAUUACCAUUUCUUUGGAACAGAUUCGAUAAGUCAGAAGAAAAAUACAAAAUCUGUCUCUGGACAAGUUCAAAAGAGACACUUUUUUUUUUUCCUAAAGGGUGCGUAUUAUUGUAACUUGUUUGUUGGUAUUGCUUCGUUUCUGUGCUUUACAUUCACAGUGUAAAUGUGUAUACCUGUAUAUAUAUGGAUUAUUAAAUCAUUGAUUAACAAGACAAAGCCUGCUACUAUAACAUUCAAUGUCAAUAUGCUUCCAAAACUCACAUAUCAGAAAAUAAUUCAACUCAAGGCAGUUGCUGAUUGUUGAUUUUAGUAAAUAAUAAUAAAACAUAAAAAAAUGACAUUGUGGAAAAAAAAUGUGGGUUAUUUUACAGUUGCUGUUAUUAAACAAAUUUAAUACAUAAAUUAAAGAUUACAGACUGCACUAUUACUAUUAUCUCAUGAUUUUACAUUCUAAAUCAAAAACUAUGUAUUUCAACUUUGUGUUUGACAAAAGAUUCUGGGAUCUAAGUUAGACCACCACAUUCUCCAGAAAUUCAUGCAUGUCCUGCAUACGUGUAAAAACAAAUAUCAGUGGCUCUACGAGAUCAUCCUCAAUGAACUCUGCACUGAAGAACCGUUCCAAGGCCUCAGCAGCUUCUUCAUCCUCCAGGCACUGUAUUAGAGGAAACUGAACUGAGCCAAAGACAUCCCCAGAGCUGUCUAUACACCACUGACUAGCAGUCUUAAGAUCGGCAUGACAUGCACCUAUAAGAAAUAAAAAUACAAAAGGGGAUAAAUAAAAAUAUGCUGAUCAAUAAUGGCUGCAAGCCCUCUAAAAAAACUACUUUUCAUGGAGACUGAACCACUUGCUUCUCCGGUGCAAGCUCAAGGGUGAAAAUAUAUGUUUCAUCUGCCUAAAAAACAAAUAUGAAUAUUGAGUUUGAGCCUGUGUUACCUUAAGUACUAGCUUUUUAAGGUAACUGGCACUUUUUCUGAGGAGCUGCUACAGAGUCACAUGUACAAGUUACCUGUACAUGGAAAGGCUCUUCCUGUUAAUGUAAAAAAAAAAAUGCAGCACAAAUUUGGUGUGUCAUAUUAACCUUCGGAUUCCCACAUAUAUGCUUUUACUUGAGAGAUUUCUUUCUUUUUUUUUUUUCAAUCUAAAUACCGGCUGCAGAUCACCUCUCAGGAAGGCUUUGGACUCCUCAGCAUAGUGAUAAAUUGAAUGUUACAUAUUUCCUUUCCUAUUAAAUCUUUAAAUAUUCAAAAGCCCAAACUAAAACAAUACUUUACCUUUCCAGUCCAAAAUAACGCACCUCCAUUUCCUUUGUGUAGACAAAUGGGGCAUCCAGCACUACAGUGCAGAUUAGAAAUGAUAAACAAGUCAGUAUUGGGCAGUUAAUUUGUUAUUUGUUAAUGAUUGUUAGUUAAAUUGGGACACGCUUCAACAACAUAUUUGUAAUGUGCAUCUUUGUCCUUAUUUUUAAUACAUUUAAUCAUUAAAUGUAUAUUGAUAAAAAAUAAAAAUGUGCAUAGGCUAAUUUAAUUCAGUGAUGUUAUACAGUGUUGUAAUCUUUUGUAUUUUCUACAUUUCUUUGUAGGAAACUGUCACUGAUCUGAUGAAACAGUUUCGACUCGGACCGAAGACCUCUGAGCCGCUGAUAUGCACAAUUUAUGAAUUGAAUGGUGAAAUUAAAGUUAUGAUUUCUCAUUGUUUAUGUAAAAAGGUGAGCUGGUUUAGACAAGUUUAUUUACUUUCUAUGCUCUAGACAUGUUUCACAUCAGUACUGGAUGCUUUAAUAAUAGUUUUUGGCAUAUGUUACAGCAUUGCGUAAUCAGGUAAACAAACUAGUGAAGUUAAGCAGUUCCUUGAAACAGUUCAGACAUUCCGAAAAACACAGAGAUAAAGAAAACACAUUUCGCUCCCUGCACACACACACAUGCACGUAUGUUUUUGUGAAAAGUGGGGACAUCCCAUAGGCGUAAUGGUUUUUAUACUGUACAAACUGUAUAUUCUAUCGCCCUACACCAACCCUACACCUAACCCUAGCCCUCACAGAAAACUUUGUGCUAUUUCAGAUUUUCAAUACACUCCAUUCUGUGUGAUUUCUAUUGCGUUUUGAAAAGUGGGGACAUGGAGUAAUGUCCUGAAAAGUCACCUUCUCCUUGUAAUACCUGUGUUAUAUCCUUGUCAUUAUACACAUUUGUGUCCUGAUAUGUCACAAACACACACACACACACACACACACACACACACACACACACACACACACACACACACACAUAAGCAGGCAAGAAUAUAAAAACAGCUGCUUGUCAGUCUACCAGUGCUGUGUAAUGAGUAUAAUUUCUUUCUUUUGCAUUCUCUCUUUUGUAGUUAUUGACAAAGUCUUUUUAAAAUUCAAAUCACCACGUUUUUAGCAUCUGUCUUGCAUUAUAGUACAGCCACUGCAGGCUACUUAUUUCAAACCUGAUUUGACAGCAGCCUGCAUCGGAUUCAUACUUGAUUUCAACUGGUUUUGCUUUAAUAUACUUAUAUGGAGAAAUUUUAAACAAGUAUAUAAACAUGUUUUCCGAAAGUCAGCAUUUGGGCGUAACUUGUUCAACACCGGUUUCCUGUUUAUUUGCGUGACUAGCCGCAUCAUUUCCACAUAUAAUGAUAUAAUGAUCUGUAGGUUGUUUAUGCUCAAUUAAACAUAAUAGUGCUGUGCGUCCAGAAUAUUUUGAGUUGAUAGAAACCUUGUGAUGACUUCACUGUACCUAUGUACAAAGCUUAAUCCAAAACAGAAUCUGUUUGAGCUUAUGGUUUUAUAAACUCACAUAUUGAUUCUUCUUUUAAAACUGGUGUACUGUUAAAGUUCAAAUUAAAUUUGACUAUUCAAUUUAAUGGUCAUGUUAGGGUUUACACAGGUUACUAAGUGAAUUUUGACACUAAAAUGUUAACAUGCAUAUUGUUUACACAUUGUUGUUUUCCCAAGAGGGAGCAUCAACGUUAUGCUACGUGUGAACCCACACUCUCAGAAAAAAAAGGUACACAAGUUGUCACUGGAGCAGUACUAUUUUAAAAGGCACACCUUUGUAUUGGUACCUUAAAGUUACAUACUAGUAAGCAAAGUGCACAUAUUAGUACCUAAAAGGUCCAAAAGUAGACCUUUUGAAAAGGUAUCACCACAGUGACAGUUGUGUACCUUUUUUUUUUCUGAAUGUAGGUUCAACAUUGAUGCUCACUCUUGGGAGUUUUCUUUCAUCUUAGUAUUCGACCAGUAUUUAUGUAGAAUGUUUCCAUCCUACCAAAUUCAUCAGAGCAGAGUGUGUCUAAAUAUGUUGUUGUUUUUUGUGUUUUUUGACAGCACCGUUCCUUAAGGCAAGACACUGCAGGAAAAAGCGUGUUGUUUCAGACUAGAAAAAAAAUCUUCCAAAAUACACAUUUAACUGUUUAUUUUAUUGCACUUUAUAUAUAUACAUAUAAUCACACAAACAAACACAUGCUAAAUCUAGCUUGAAGGCAGAAAAUGUGCUCGUGAUGCAUGUUCACACCCAGCUUUCUUCUUCAAGCCAAUAAAUAUCAGUCCAGUGAGCGUCUCAGACACUUUCUGAUCUUCAGCUCAGACUCAUCGAGACUCUUUCAUUCACACAAACUCAAGAACAACUCAAAGGAUGAGAACGGAGGUUUUCCUCGUGCUCCUCAUGACUCUGGUGUCCACUGAUGGACUGAAUAAUGUCACGUUCAACCGAGAGAAACGGGAUCUUUUCUCUAACAGUGCAUAUCCCUGCCAGAGAUCUCAGAAUAACAACGCAUAUAAUACUUUUAAUCGCCGACAUAUUCUCUCAGAGGAUUUUGACAGGAACAGUGAAAGGGCUUGGGCAUUUUAUCUCAAUAGAAAGGGUCUUUGUGGCAGAACACCUGUUCAGUCCUUCCUCUCUAGAAGGUACAGCGAUAGAAUUAAAAGAAUCUGCAACGGAGAAGGCACCAGAGACACAGGAAACUUGUGCAUCAGUAUGAGAAGUUUCACAGUGUACAUUGUUGAAAGUUCUGUAAGAUACAGAGAGUGUGAAGUUCAUGUUCGUCGUGAGAACUCUUAUGUGAGUGUUGCUUGUGAGGUCAUUGAUAACGAAUGUGUGCCUGUUCACUAUGAGGAACAAACUAACAGGCGGCCGUCCCAACGUGGUCAGAUCUGCAGACCUUAAGCAGAGGAUGUACUAAGGAUACAUGUUUAACCAUUAAUUAAAACGUUGCUAUGCCACAUGCAUGUAUAAACUGGAUAUAAUUCCAGAAGCUUCUCAAUAAAAGCUUUCUUAGCACAGCGCAGUUUGGUUUUAUAAAACAAACUGAUGAGAUGUGUAGCUCAAAUGCAAUGUAAGUCACUUUAAAUAAAAGUAUCUGCCAAAGCCAUUAAUGUGUCUGUUCUUUUGUGAAAUCAUUUUAAAUGUGUUUGAGUCGAGACACCCCAGGUGAAUGCGAUAAGGGAAAUAAAUAAAUAAAUCUAAUUAGUAUCACAAUUUUUUCAAACAUUUUCUGUACUACACAUUUUCUGAAAUGUUAUGUUUGAAUGUGUUAAUGAGGCAAUAUAUAAUAAAAUAUGCACUAACACAAAUUUUUAGAAAUCUAAACACUGGAUCAGUGUUUGGGUAACAUUACAAGUAUGUAAUCAGAUUACUUUUUCAAGUAUCUAGUAAAGUAACACAUUACUUUCAAUUUGAC